CCAAUAGCGUAUAUUAAAGUUGUUGCAGUUAAAAAGCUCGUAGUUGAAUCUCGGGGUUAGUAGGUUGGUCAUGCCUCUGGUAUGUACUGGUUUCACUGAUUCCUCCUUCCUGCUGCGCCGUAAUGCCAUUAAUUUGGUGUUGCGGGGAAUUUGGACUGUUACUUUGAAAAAUUUAGAGUGUUUAAAGCAAGCUAACGCUUGAAUACAUUAGCAUGGAAUAAUGUAAUAGGACGUUCGAUCCUAUUUUGUUGGUUUCUAGGAUUGACGUAAUGAUUAAUAGGGAUAGUUGGGGGCAUUAGUAUUCAAUUGUCAGAGGUGAAAUUAUUGGAUUUAUUGAAGACUAACUACUGCGAAAGCAUUUGCCAAGGAUGUUUUCAUUAAUCAAGAACGAAAGUUAGGGGAUCGAAGACGAUCAGAUACCGUCGUAGUCUUAACCAUAAACUAUGCCGACUAGGGAUCGGAUGAUGUUAAUUUUUUAAUGACUCAUUCGGCGCCUUACG
rnacentral:rRNA from 1 species